GAUGAACGCUGGCGGCGUGCCUAAUACAUGCAAGUCGAGCGAACGGACGAGAAGCUUGCUUUUCUGAUGUUAGCGGCGGACGGGUGAGUAACACGUGGAUAACCUACCUAUAAGACUGGGAUAACUUCGGGAAACCGGAGCUAAUACCGGAUAAUAUUUUGAACCGCACGGUUCAAAAGUGAGAGACGGUCUUGCUGUCACUUAUAGAUGGAUCCGCGCUGCAUUAGCUAGUUGGUAAGGUAACGGCUUACCAAGGCAACGAUGCAUAGCCGACCUGAGAGGGUGAUCGGCCACACUGGAACUGAGACACGGUCCAGACUCCUACGGGAGGCAGCAGUAGGGAAUCUUCCGCAAUGGGCGAAAGCCUGACGGAGCAACGCCGCGUGAGUGAUGAAGGUCUUCGGAUCGUAAAACUCUGUUAUUAGGGAAGAACAUAUGUGUAAGUAACUGUGCACAUCUUGACGGUACCUAAUCAGAAAGCCACGGCUAACUACGUG
rnacentral:rRNA from 1 species